rnacentral:lncRNA from 13 species
CGGCCGGAGGGCGGCUCGACGGGGCGGGCGGCGGGCAGGCACCGGGGACCCCCGUUCCCCCCGCUCUGGGUUUCGGCCCGCCCUGCGGGGUUCGCUGCUGCCCGCUCGCAGGGGAGGCCGGCCAACCUCAAACGCGGGGGACCAGCUCCGUGCAGGCGGGCACGGGCAGCCGGCGUGGUGCUUUGGGCAAUACAAGAGGGUGAAAAAAAUACUGCAAGGGCUAAAAAGCUCGGCACUGUAGCAGCUUCGGGCGGGGUCGGGAUAACCAGGCUGGAGAGUCCCGAGAAGCGCUGCAGAGCCCUGAGCCCAACGUUGAGCCCCGGAGCGACGCCCGCAGCCCUGGGCACACCGUGGCGGCCGGGAGUAUGUUGGUCUCAACAUCAUAGCCGCCCUUCUGGAAAAGUCUUACAGGAUUCAGGCAGAGGGAAACCAACACAGAAGUGACUCGGAAAGCAUGAUGGCAAAUGAUUAAUCAAAUCAGAGACAGAAAGGCGGAGUUAUGAUUUUCGAUGACAAGAGCCAGCACGGGGUGAAUGCAGGCACGGGGUGGCCCCGACCCGCGGGCUGGCCCUCGAG